UACGUAGGGCGCAAGCGUUUGUCCGGAAUUAUUGGGCGUAAAGAGCUCGUAGGCGGUUUGUCGCGUCUGCUGUGAAAACCUAAGGCUCAACCUUGGGCUUGCAGUGGGUACGGGCAGACUAGAGUGCGGAAGAGGCGAGUGGAAUUCCUGGUGUAGCGGUGGAAUGCGCAGAUAUCAGGAGGAACACCAAUAGCGAAGGCAGCUCGCUGGGACGUUACUGACGCUGAGGAGCGAAAGCGUGGGGAGCAAACAGG
rnacentral:rRNA from 1 species